AUCGUCCUCGUUAACAAAUACCACAUGAUUUCAAAACGCAUUAUUUAAUAUCUACUCUGGGUUUUCCCGGUUACAUAUUGCAGCUAUCACCACGCAGUCCACUAUUCGGAAAUUAACAGCAAGUGUGAAGUUUGUGGUCCCCAUUUCUGCAACUUUUGAACUGCGUUUUGUUAAGGAUGGUAAAUUGCCCAAACUGCAGUUUACCUUCCAAAUACCGUGCAGAUAAACAAUUAACAAACGAUGUUAAUAAAACUGGCCACGAAAUCAAAAUCCAAUAGGAGGUGCCCUUGCAAUCAUUGAGAUCGACGAAACGCUUCUCGUGCGCCGGAAACGUGCUGGGCAGAAAGCACAGUCAAGUGUACUGCACGUCUGGGUAAAAAGAAAAUCGUGGUGCCACUGCUGGACUGUGACCGCGAAUAUCCUUUAUAAUCAUAAAUAAAACGGAAGGCUUUGUACACCCGCACAACGCGUAUAUCCACAUGCCAAAUAUCAAAGAUUUCAAGGAAUUGGUGAAACGCCUAUUGCAUUCCUUUAAGCGGCACAAAAAUCAGGAGAGCAAGACAAAGCCGUUGCUCCAGUCUAUGGCGGAUGACGGCAGGGCAUUACAACGGACGCACGUCAGUAGAUUUGUUAUGAGAUUUAACCUAAUAAGCAGAACCGAUGCUGUCCAUUUGUUUGCCGCAAGAUGCUCCUCAUAUCAUUCUCUACUGCAAGCUCUGGGAUGCUAAAGAUUACUAUCCAUAUAUGGAUAUAGUGGCCAAUAACUGUGAUAGAAAGUAUAGAACAGAACAGCAGUGUGUUUAAUGGUU